CCUCAGAUGGCCCAGAUGAUGCGUGCAGCAGGGAACCUGCACCUGCUGACCAGACUUUACUACCCUGAUGCUGGACAUCUGAUUGAGCCGCCAUACACACCUCACUUCAGAGCUACUAAGUUUGUAAAGGACAAAAAAGAGAAAGUGAUAUUGCUGUGGGGAGGACAAACCAAACCCCAUUCAGACGCUCAGGAAGACUCCUGGAAGAAGAUCUUGGCUUUUCUGGAGCAGAAUCUGUACUCCAGCCCAACUCUCAAAGCCAAGAUGUGAAUGACUACACAAGCACAGAUCGCCAAUGAAUCACUGCUGGAAAAGUUUGUUGUGUGACCGGGCCAUGUUAGUACAUUAACACUACUGUUCAUUGGUUCCUCACUGUGUUGACCAUGUGCCUUUCUUCUGAUCAGCUGAGGUUGUUUGUUUUGUUCAAAUUGUGCCUCUUCAUUCUGAGCAAUACAUUUUAGUUUAAUUAUCUGCAAGCCUCAACCUUUGACAGUAAUAUAAAUGUAAGUUAUUGUACUGUAUGUUUGGAGAACAAUUUUUAUUAUAUAUUAAGAAUAUUAUUAAGGAAUCAUUUUUUAAUGCACUACCUGCCGACAGUAACCUAAUAUUCAGACUGAAUGGGCAUUAUUACCCUUUGCUUCUUCAGUCUGACUCUUGUUAGACUUUGUUUUGAGGGACAAGAGACCCCCACUUGGUACAGGAGACAGUCAAACUGCAGCAUUCAAUGCCAAGUAAUAUACCAUGAAUGUAACUUGCACGUAUUUGAUUGGCCACCAUGAAGCAAUUUUGUUUCAGGUCUUUUUUGUCCAGCUGAACAAAACCAACUUUUUUGGCCUUCAAGA